AGUGAACGCUGGCGGUAGGCCUAACACAUGCAAGUCGAACGGCAGCACAGUAAGAGCUUGCUCUUACGGGUGGCGAGUGGCGGACGGGUGAGGAAUACAUCGGAAUCUACUUUUUCGUGGGGGAUAACGUAGGGAAACCUACGCUAAUACCGCAUACGACCUACGGGCGAAAGCAGGGGAUCUUCGGACCUUGCGCGAUUGAAUGAGCCGAUGUCGGAUUAGCUAGUUGGCGGGGUAAAGGCCCACCAAGGCGACGAUCCGUAGCUGGUCUGAGAGGAUGAUCAGCCACACUGGAACUGAGACACGGUCCAGACUCCUACGGGAGGCAGCAGUGGGGAAUAUUGGACAAUGGGCGCAAGCCUGAUCCAGCCAUACCGCGUGGGUGAAGAAGGCCUUCGGGUUGUAAAGCCCUUUUGUUGGGAAAGAAAAGCAGCAGGUUAAUACCCCGCUGUUCUGACGGUACCCAAAGAAUAAGCACCGGCUAACUUCGUG
rnacentral:rRNA from 1 species